CUGCGCGGUUCCCUCAGCAACUCCCGCCUUCCCCGCCCCGCUCCUGUUCCACCGCUCGGUUCCAACCCUGAUCCAGGACGGGCCGCAGUGUGCUCUGGUGGCCCUGGCCAUGGCGGGGGCGCUGCUGGGACCCCCUGGCCCCAAUUGGGUCUGGGGGCUCUGCUGGAGCCAGCGCGGGCCAGGGCUGCACCCGCCACAGGGAGAUGUUCUCAGACUGGGACUGGGAAACACCAAGAGUUUGCACCUUGUGGCUGCAGCAGCUGCCCCAGCGCCGGAGGGACUGAUUACAGAGCGACCACCCCAAGAGAGACUUUCUGAAUUUGUCAUCUUUUUCAGAGCGGUGAAAGAGUGGUGUCAUCUGGUAUUGUUCAUUUUGUGUGCUGGGGGUGCUGUGCUUGUCAAAUAAACGGGUUCUUUCCA